rnacentral:rRNA from 1 species
CAACAGGGAUUGCCCUAGUAACGGCGAGUGAAGCGGCAACAGCUCAAAUUUGAAAUCUGGCUCUUUCAGAGUCCGAGUUGUAAUUUGCAGAGGGCGCUUUGGCGUUGGCAGCGGUCCAAGUUCUUUGGAACAGGACGUCACAGAGGGUGAGAAUCCCGUACGUGGUCGCUAGCCUUCGCCGUGUAAAGCCCCUUCGACGAGUCGAGUUGUUUGGGAAUGCAGCUCUAAAUGGGAGGUAAAUUUCUUCUAAAGCUAAAUACUGGCCAGAGACCGAUAGCGCACAAGUAGAGUGAUCGAAAGAUGAAAAGCACUUUGGAAAGAGAGUCAAAUAGCACGUGAAAUUGUUGAAAGGGAAGCGCUUGCAGCCAGACUUGCCUGUAGUUGCUUAUCUGGACUUUUGUCCGGUGCACUCUUCUGCGGGCAGGCCAGCAUCAGUUUGGGCGGUUGGAUAAAGGUCUCUGUCAUGUACCUCCUUUCGGGGAGGCCUUAUAGGGGAGACGACAUGCAACCAGCCUGGACUGAGGUCCGCGCAUCUGCUAGGAUGCUGGCGUAAUGGCUGUAAGCGGCCCGUCUUGAAACACGGACCAAGGAGUCUAACAUCUAUGCGAGUGUUUGGGUGUCAAGCCCAGACGCGUAAUGAAAGUGAACGGAGGUGGGAACCUUUUAGGUGCACCAUCGACCGAUCCUGAUGUCUUCGGAAGGAUUUGAGUAAGAGCAUGGCUGUUGGGACCCGAAAGAUGGUGAACUAUGCUUGAAUAGGGUGAAGCCAGAGGAAACUCUGGUGGAGGCUCGCAGCGGUUCUGACGUGCAAAUCGAUCGUCAAAUUUGGGCAUAGGGGCGAAAGACUAAUCGAACUAUCUAGUAGCUGGUUCCUGCCGAAGUUUCCCUCAGGAUAGCAGUAACGUAUUCAGUUUUAUGAGGUAAAGCGAAUGAUUAGAGGCCUGGGGGUUGAAACAACCUUCACCUAUUCUCAAACUUUAAAUAUGUAAGAAGUCCUUGUUACUUGAUUGAACGUGGACACUUGAAUGUACCGUUACUAGUGGGCCAUUUUUGGUAAGCAGAACUGGCGAUGCGGGAUGAACCGAACGCGGGGUUAAGGUGCCAGAAUAUACGCUCAUCAGACACCACAAAAGGUGUUAGUUCAUCUAGACAGCAGGACGGUGGCCAUGGAAGUCGGAAUCCGCUAAGGAGUGUGUAACAACUCACCUGCCGAAUGAACUAGCCCUGAAAAUGGAUGGCGCUCAAGCGUAUUACCCAUACCCCGCCGCCGGGGCAGAAUUUAUGCCCCGGCGAGUAGGCAGGCGUGGAGGCUCGUGACGAAGCCU